GAAGCUAUUGGUCAUCAGAAAUGCAGAAACCUGACUCGAAAGGCCAAUCUUUGGUUCUACAGUAGUGAUGUUAUCUGUCAGGAGUAAUUGGGGAAGUGGCAAGUCUUGUGACUUCUGGAAAAAUAGCUGCACUGAGAACAGGCAGCUCUGAGAACCACCUGAGUCGUCACCAUCUGGUACAAGUGCGCAGAUUGAGCCCAGCGUUUUGCCUCGACACAUUUUGAAGUGCAACUCACAGUGACUUCAUCUGCAUAACAUCAGGGCAUAGAGCUCUCCUCUUCCAGCGGAAAAGUUCAGUGACAUCAUUUGUGGAGAUUGAUUCACCACGGCAUAUCAAAGAGAAAAGAUGGGUGGCGAGAGCCCUGGGUUUCACUCUGUCACUGUAUAGC
rnacentral:lncRNA from 1 species